UCCGGUGGCUAUAGCAUAGAGGGUACACCCGAUCCCAUUCCGAACUCGGAAGUUAAGCUCUAUUACGCCGAUGGUACUGCACGGGAGACUAGUGUGGGAGAGUAGGUAGUUGCCGGUA
rnacentral:rRNA from 1 species